rnacentral:rRNA from 1 species
GUGCCAGCAGCCGCGGUAAUUCCAGCUCCAAUAGCGUAUAUUAAAGUUGUUGCAGUUAAAAAGCUCGUAGUUGAAACUUGGGCCUGGCUGGCAGGUCCGCCUCACCGCGUGUACUUGUCCGGCCGGGCCUUUCCUUCUGUAGAACCUCAUGCCCUUCACUGGGUGGGUUGGGGAACCAGGACUUUUACUUUGAAAAAAUUAGAGUGUUCAAAGCAGGCCUUUGCUCGAAUACGUUAGCAUGGAAUAAUAGAAUAGGACGUGCGGUCCUAUUUUGUUGGUUUCUAGGACCGCCGUAAUGAUUAAUAGGGACAGUCGGGGGCAUCAGUAUUCAAUUGUCAGAGGUGAAAUUCUUGGAUCUAUUGAAGACUAACUACUGCGAAAGCAUUUGCCAAGGAUGUUUUCAUUAAUCAGUGAACGAAAGAGGGGGGAUCGAAGACGAUCAGAUACCGUCGUAGUCUUAACCGUAAAAUAUGCCGACUAGGGAUCGGGGGAUGAUCUUUUUCUGACUCGCUCGCCACCUUACGAGAAAUCAAAGUUUUUGGGUUCUGGAGGGAGUAUGGUCGCAAGGCUGAAACUUAAAGAAAUUGACGGAAGGGCACCACCAGGCGUGCAGCCUGCUGCUUAGUUUGACUCAACACGAAGUCACUCACCAGGUCCAGAUGAAAUAAUGGACUGACAGAUAGAGAGCUCUUUCUUGAUUUUUUCAGGGGGGGAUGCAUGUCCGUACUUAGUUGGUGAGUGAUCUGUCUGCUGAGUGCGAUAACGAACGAUACCCUAACCUGCUAAAUAGCCUGCUAGCUUGGCUGGUCGCUGGCUUUCAUGAGAGUGUACUAUCGACUCAGACCGAAUG